rnacentral:rRNA from 1 species
GAUGAACGCUGGCGGCGUGCCUAAUACAUGCAAGUCGAGCGAACGGACGAGAAGCUUGCUUCUCUGAUGUUAGCGGCGGACGGGUGAGUAACACGUGGAUAACCUACCUAUAAGACUGGGGUAACUUCGGGAAACCGGAGCUAAUACCGGAUAAUAUUUUGAACCGCAUGGUUCAAAAGUGAAAGACGGUCUUGCUGUCACUUAUAGAUGGAUCCGCGCUGCAUUAGCUAGUCGGUAAGGUAACGGCUUACCAAGGCAACGAUGCAUAGCCGACCUGAGAGGGUGAUCGGCCACACUGGAACUGAGACACGGUCCAGACUCCUACGGGAGGCAGCAGUAGGGAAUCUUCCGCAAUGGGCGAAAGCCUGACGGAGCAACGCCGCGUGAGUGAUGAAGGUCUUCGGAUCGUAAAACUCUGUUAUUAGGGAAGAACAUAUGUGUAAGUAACUGUGCACAUCUUGACGGUACCUAAUCAGAAAGCCACGGCUAACUACGUG